GACGAACGCUGGCGGCGUGCCUAAUACAUGCAAGUCGAACGAGUGGCGGACGGGUGAGUAACACGUGGGAACCUACCCAUCAGAGGGGGAUAACUACUGGAAACGGUAGCUAAUACCGCAUACCAUCAGAUGUUCCCAGAUGGGAUUGGCUUGUUGGUGGGGUAACGGCUCACCAGGGCGACGAUCCCUAUCUGGGCUGAGAGGAUGACGAGCAACACUGGAACUGAGACACGGUCCUGACUCCGACGGGAGGCAGCAGUGGGGACUAUGGCACAAGGGGCGCAAGCCUGAUGCAGCCAUGCCGCGUGUAUGAAGAAGGCCUUCGGGUUGUAAAGUACUUUCAGCGGGGAGGCGUUACCCGCAGAAGAAGCACCGGCUAACUCCGUGCCAGCAGCCGCGGUAAUAC
rnacentral:rRNA from 1 species